GGCCACAGCCAUAUCACCCUGCAGCCCAAGACCGGUUAUUUACUGAAGCUAAGCAGGGCUGAGCCUGAUCAGUACAUGGAUGAAGGAGCAAAUGGAAAAACUAGGUUGCUGUUAAAA
rnacentral:rRNA from 1 species